CCUACGGGGGUCAGCGGUAGGGAAUUUUCGGCAAUGGGGGGAACCCUGACCGAGCAACGCCGCGUGAACGAAGAAGUUAUUCGUAAUGUAACGUUCUUUUAACAGGGAAGAAAGAGAAAUUUGAUGGUACCUGAAGAAUAAGCUCCGGCUAACGACGUGCCAGCGGCCGCGGUAAUACGUAGGGAGCGAACGUUAUCCGGAAUUAUUGGGCGUAAGGGGUGCGUAGAUGUCAUCGUAAGUCGUGUGUAAAAAUGCUGGGCUAAACCCAGUAGGGCAAAAGAUACUGUAAAGCUAGAGUAUGACAGAGGCAAGUGGAACUACAUGUGUAGCGGUAAAAUGCGUAAAUAUAUGUAAGAACACCAGUGGCGAAGGCGGCUUGCUGGGUCGAUACUGACAUUGAGGCACGAAAGCGUGGGGAGCAAACAGGAUUAGAUACCCUUGUAGUC
rnacentral:rRNA from 1 species